CAAAGCAGAUCGCUUUACUACAGUCAACGAAAGGACUUCCUGUUUGUAUUUGUCAGGCUGUAAAACAUUCAUUGUGUCUGUAACCACAGUGUUUUAUACAGAGUUGCGAUCCAGACCUGUGAUAACGUCUGUUUCUGCAGAUAUCAGCUGGUUUACAGACUGCAGUGGGAACAAAACUGUAAUACAGCGACCGAAGGGAAGAAAGCUGAUGUGAAAAUACGACAACUUGUGGACAAUCGUUUUGCACGAGGGGACGUCCUGAUGGUUAAAACACAUACUGCAACGUCCUGGUUCAAUUCCAGCCAUGGAGCUUUGUUGCAUUUCAAUAUUCCUCCAUCAGUCAAUCCAUCUUUCUUAAUUGUCCUCAAGGGGUUAAUUUAGUUUGCAGCCGCGUGGCAUCAAUCCAUCACAGCACAGUAUACAGGCUCCGUGAGGCUGUAUUAGCUAAAAUGCUAACGUUAGCAGUAAGCACAGAGUGCAGCUGAGGCUGAUGGGAGCGUCAGCAGCUCUGCAGGUGUUCGGUCAGAAACCAAAGUGUCGGACGCGUUAACAUGUCGACCUGAUGGUGGCGCUAGAUGGAAAGUCAGAGGAUCAGCAGAAUUAUUACAGUUCAUCCUGAGGGGAGCAUGAGCGAUGAAGCACGUCUCAUCACAGUCCAGCAGCUGCUGAGACGCUUCGGUCUGGACCGACACACAGACAUCACCAACCACAGAGCCACAGCGCUAGUACGGCUGUUCGAACAACAAACCCAAAUGAUAAAAACACCAAAAGCCUGAAAAGCCGUCCAGUCCAGCUAAGGAAGAGGACUUUAACGGGCAGACGGCGACAAAAAUAAAUGACUUAGUGGUUUUAGUUCAGCUGGAAACCCUGAAGAGGACCAGAUGUCAGGAACCCGGACCAGGACAGACCCACUGGUUCUACAUGUCAAAGAGCUGAACUGACUUUGACAAGUCUCUAUUGUUACUGGACAGGCUGAGUUUUCCGUACGACACCACGAAACUCGACUGUCACCGUCAAAUAAAGACAAAAACAAAGUACUGAGUUCGUCCGAUCGUAGCAAGAGACGAGGGGACCAGAACUUCUUCUGCUGUCCACAUACUUUUGGCCAUAUCGUGUAUGUGACCUCCUGCUGUAAUGACACGAUGAAUGUGAAGCCCUGACGGUAAACGGUCACCUGACAGACAAACUGAGGGGAUUUAUUUAUAUUCAGACACCAGAAAGUGAGAAAACAAAACGGUUUGUUUAUAAAAGUUUUGGGGUUUUUCUUUAAAUCUGAGAUGAUGGAAGAGGAGAGGAGGACGGAGAGGAAGAUGUCGGUCUGUUGUGUUUUUAUGGAGCUCAGUUGUAAAUGAGACAGCUUUACUACCCCACACACACACACACACACACACACUGAUGAAGUGUGUGUCUCAUUUUAUGACAUCAGGUAUGUGUGUGUGUCAGCUGCAUAAAACUGAGGCCUUAAAAAAAUACUGCAACACACACAAAGACAGAUAAAAGAGGAAAAACCUGGUGGAAGUGAAAGAAGAAACAAAUGAUCGUCACGAGGAAGCAGAGAAGUCGAGCUGACGAUGUUUUAUGCUGCAGUAUAUAAACACACACACACACACACACACUCCUAUAGAGAAGCGGCUGACUGUGCAGAGUGUGUGUGCUGUAAAUAUUUAACACCUGUAAACUGCGUUCACCUGCAUGUUGAUGAACAGCUGGAGAACAGCUGGCCGCUUCCACUGAAGGAACUUAACAUGCGAGCCGGAGGCGCUGCGAGCCUUCGCUGCCGUUUCAGGCGCACGCCAUUAAACGGGCCACGGAGUCGUGGAGGUGACGGUGCGCAGACACACUGCAGGAUGAACGGCAGUCGUUUCUGAGCGUUUGUUCUUCAAAAUAAAAUAAAAUAUUUAUCGACGUAGCGUUUGCUCGUGCCGCUCAACACUCGAAACGUUACCUGAUUUUGAAACUAGCUACACUACCUGAACUUGGAGACGUGGUUCGCCACAGCGGCGUACACACAACCUACAGUUUACGCAGACAAACGCGGUAAAACCACGGGAGCGCAAAACAAAUCUGAGCGCCGCUCAACCUGCAGGUUACCGUCUCAAAGUGAGCUGGCAACAACGACGACACGUUUCACUGUCUGAAAACAAAGAUGGCCGUCAGGUACGAGCGUCAUGCUCGCUGACUUGCGCUCCCUUCACUCUCAGACAGAGAGACGAGCAACGGUCUGAGCAGGAGCUGCUGAGGUGCCCUGAAGCAAGGCACCAACCCUGCACGUCAACACUGUUGCCUAGCAACCGGUUAUAGGCAACAGCUUAUGACACUUGGAAACUGGCGGCGGAACACGCAGAAACACAUCAGCUGGCGAUGAUGAAGACGCCACGGGUCCGUGAGCAUCCGUACGUCAGCGCGCGUCUGAUCGACGGGACAAACGUUACGGCUAACUGCUGCUAACAACCUUGACCGCUGACUGGUCAGAGCAAAAUAACUCCCUCCCAAACAGGAAAACAGCUGACGUGAACACGACGUCACGCUGAAGAAUGAAGAGAAACGAAGCGGCGACUCAAUCAAUCAUAAAUAAACCUGCAGCACAGCAGCUUUUAAAGA